rnacentral:lncRNA from 1 species
AUCGCUUGCUCCUCCUAUCUCCCCUAGGUUCUAUUUGGGGAUUUCAACGCCACCCGAUAUCGGUCUGAUAGAGUUGGCGCUGCUGAAAGCUCCACUUCUUCUCUGAUUUUCAAUGAUUUUGUUUUCACUCAAAGCCUGGUAGAAAUUAAUCUUCCCUCAUGCAGGUUCACAUGGUCGAAUUUCAGAGAGCAACCAUCAUUGGCUAAACUUGAUCGAUGUCUCGUCUCUCUAUCAUGGCACAGCUCUUUCCC